UAAGACGAACCGUGCGAACGUUGUUCGGAAUCACUGGGCUUAAAGGGUGCGUAGGCGGGCGAUCAAGUCAGGGGUGAAAUCCUCCAGCUUAACUGGAGAACUGCCUUUGAUACUGGUCAUCUUGAGUGAGGUAGGGGCGUGCGGAACUGAUGGUGGAGCGGUGAAAUGUGUUGAUAUCAUCAGGAACUCCGGUGGCGAAAGCGGCGCGCUGGACCUUUACUGACGCUGAGGCACGAAAGCCAGGGGAGCGAACGGGAUUAGAUACCCCGGUAGUCCUGGCCCUAAACGAUGGGUACUAGGUAGUAGCCUUGACAUGGGGUUACUGCCGAAGCCAAAGUGCUAAGUACCCCGCCUGGGGAGUAUGGUCGCAAGGCUG
rnacentral:rRNA from 1 species